AGUGGCGGACGGGUGAGUAACGCGUAAGAAUCUAACUUCAGGACGGGGACAACAGUGGGAAACGACUGCUAAUACCCGAUGUGCCGCGAGGUGAAACCUAAUUGGCCUGAAGAAGAGCUUGCGUCUGAUUAGCUAGUUGGUGGGGUAAGAGCCUACCAAGGCGACGAUCAGUAGCUGGUCUGAGAGGAUGAGCAGCCACACUGGGACUGAGACACGGCCCAGACUCCUACGGGAGGCAGCAGUGGGGAAUUUUCCGCAAUGGGCGAAAGCCUGACGGAGCAACGCCGCGUGAGGGAGGAAGGUCUUUGGAUUGUAAACCUCUUUUCUCAAGGAAGAAGUUCUGACGGUACUUGAGGAAUCAGCCUCGGCUAACUCCGUGCCAGCAGCCGCGGUAAUACGGGGGAGGCAAGCGUUAUCCGGAAUUAUUGGGCGUAAAGCGUCCGCAGGUGGUCAGCCAAGUCUGCCGUCAAAUCAGGUUGCUUAACGACCUAAAGGCGGUGGAAACUGGCAGUCUAGAGAGCAGUAGGGGUAGCAGGAAUUCCCAGUGUAGCGGUGAAAUGCGUAGGGAUUGGGAAGAACAUCGGUGGCGAAAGCGUGCUACUGGGCUGUAUCUGACACUCAGGGACGAAAGCUAGGGGAGCGAAAGGGAUUAGAUACCCCUGUAGUCCUAGCCGUAAACGAUGGAUAUUAGGCGUGGCUU
rnacentral:rRNA from 1 species